UACAGAGGUCCCAAGCGUUGUUCGGAUUCAUUGGGCGUAAAGGGUGCGUAGGCGGCGCGGUAAGUCGGGUGUGAAAUCUCGGGGCUUAACUCCGAAACUGCAUUCGAUACUGCCGUGCUUGAGGACUGGAGAGGAGACUGGAAUUUACGGUGUAGCGGUGAAAUGCGUAGAUAUCGUAAGGAAGACCAGUGGCGAAGGCGGGUCUCUGGACAGUAACUGACGCUGAGGAGCGAAAGUGUGGGGAGCGAACAGG
rnacentral:rRNA from 1 species